rnacentral:rRNA from 1 species
GCUUGCUAAGUACAGAUGACGAGUGGCGGACGGGUGAGUAAUGCUUGGGAACUUGCCUUUGCGAGGGGGAUAACAGUUGGAAACGACUGCUAAUACCGCAUAAUGUCUUCGGACCAAACGGGGCUUCGGCUCCGGCGCAAAGAGAGGCCCAAGUGAGAUUAGCUAGUUGGUAAGGUAACGGCUUACCAAGGCGACGAUCUCUAGCUGUUCUGAGAGGAAGAUCAGCCACACUGGGACUGAGACACGGCCCAGACUCCUACGGGAGGCAGCAGUGGGGAAUAUUGCACAAUGGGGGAAACCCUGAUGCAGCCAUGCCGCGUGUGUGAAGAAGGCCUUCGGGUUGUAAAGCACUUUCAGUUGUGAGGAAAAGUUAGUAGUUAAUACCUGCUAGCCGUGACGUUAACAACAGAAGAAGCACCGGCUAACUCCGU